rnacentral:rRNA from 1 species
CCUACGGGCGACUGCAGUGAGGAAUAUUGGUCAAUGGACGCGAGUCUGAACCAGCCAAGUAGCGUGCAGGAUGACUGCCCUAUGGGUUGUAAACUUCUUUUAUAUGGGAAUAAAAUGUUCCACGUGUGGGAUUUUGUAUGUACCAUACGAAUAAGGAUCGGCUAACUCCGUGCCAGCAGCCGCGGUAAUACGGAGGAUCCGAGCGUUAUCCGGAUUUAUUGGGUUUAAAGGGAGCGUAGGCGGAUUGUUAAGUCAGUUGUGAAAGUUUGCGGCUCAACCGUAAAAUUGCAGUUGAAACUGGCAGGCUUGAGUACAGUAGAGGUAGGCGGAAUUCGUGGUGUAGCGGUGAAAUGCUUAGAUAUCACGAAGAACUCCGAUUGCGAAGGCAGCUCACUGGACUGCAACUGACACUGAGGCUCGAAAGUGUGGGUAUCAAACAGGAUUAGAUACCCCUGUAGUC